UAUAAUUUUUUUUUUCUGAGAUUGUUUGCUGUAGAUGACCUUGAAGGCCAUAGAACAUUAUCGAUAUUAUGGUUAUUUUCAUGUUCAUGGUAUAAAAAUGAGCUAACAAUAGUUGUACAUGCCUUUUUUACUUUAUUCUUUUAUUAUUAUAGAUAAAGUUUCAAUCUUUGCUUAAAAGAAGUACUUAUGCUUUGUUUAAAUUCAUUGUUGGCGGAUAUAUUUAUUUUUAG
rnacentral:lncRNA from 1 species